UACGUAGGGGGCAAGCGUUGUCCGGAAUUAUUGGGCGUAAAGCGCACGUAGGCGGCUUCUUAAGUCAGGGGUGAAAUCCUGGAGCUCAACUCCAGAACUGCCUUUGAUACUGAGAAGCUUGAGUCCGGGAGAGGUGAGUGGAACUGCGAGUGUAGAGGUGAAAUUCGUAGAUAUUCGCAAGAACACCAGUGGCGAAGGCGGCUCACUGGCCCGGUACUGACGCUGAGGUGCGAAAGCGUGGGGAGCAAACAGG
rnacentral:rRNA from 1 species